UUAAAAACUACACAAAUGUAAUAAUCAAUUAUUUGUUAACAUAAAAUUUUUAAUAUUAUUUUGAGGUUACUCACUUUUGGUGCUUUGAAUAAAGCCACUUUUCCUAAAUUCUCACUUGCCUUUCGGCCACUAAGGCAACCAUAAACGGCACAACACUUUCCCAUUUUUUAAUAAAAAUAAUUCUAAAAAAAUAAAUUAAUAUUUUAUAUUUAAUUUACGUGUAAUAAUAAUAAUAGUAUCGGUACGCUCUAGAGACCCUGUAGGAGGGACGCGCCAUGUGGAUUACAAGGCUGAAAAUGUGGGGGGACAGCUUCCGUUGCAUCGCGCAGCAAUGUUUAUCUUUAGUGUGCAUUAACGGCUGUGGUUAGUUUAAGUUUGGAAUACUUAUAGUUUUUAUUGUGAUAUUUAUGUUUAAUUAUUUUGUUUUUUUCAGUAGUUUUCUAUAAGUACUUAUUGUUUGUGAUAAUUUGAGGAUCAUUAAUAGAUACUCUCUGUUUAGAUUGCGAAGUGCAUCGCGUAGGUAUAAUCGCAAAAGUUUACAAAAUUUUAAGCAAACAAAUCUCAGUUCGAGUAAAACUAUGACCAUGUACCACAUUGAGAAAUAAAAAUAUGUUAAAAUAAAUCUAUUUUUUAAUUGUUUUA